rnacentral:rRNA from 1 species
AUUGAACGCUGGCGGCAUGCCUUACACAUGCAAGUCGAACGGUAACAGGGUGCUUGCACCGCUGACGAGUGGCGAACGGGUGAGUAAUGCGUCGGAACGUGCCGAGUAGUGGGGGAUAACGCAGCGAAAGUUGUGCUAAUACCGCAUACGUACUGAGGUAGAAAGUGGGGGACCUUCGGGCCUCACGCUAUUCGAGCGGCCGACGUCUGAUUAGCUAGUAGGUGAGGUAAAGGCUCACCUAGGCGACGAUCGGUAGCGGGUCUGCGAGGAUGAUCCGCCACACUGGGACUGAGCCACGGCCCAGACUCCUACGGGAGGCAGCUGUGGGGAAUUUUGGACAAUGGGCGAAAGCCUGAUCCAGCCAUGCCGCGUGCCUGAAGAAGGCCUUCGGGUUGUAAAGGACUUUUGUCGGGGAGGAAAUCCCCAGCGCUAAUACCGCUGGGGGAUGACAGUACCUGAAGAAUAAGCACCGGCUAACUACGUGCCAGCCGCCGCGGUAACAC